CUCUAUGGCGGGUCGUUCGGGCAACCUUCGGGUUGGCCGGUUUCCUUGUGUCCGGUAGUGCUAACCCGUACAGCCCGCCGCCUUU
rnacentral:antisense_RNA from 1 species